rnacentral:rRNA from 1 species
GGAGGAAAAGAAACCAACAGGGAUUGCCUUAGUAGCGGCGAGUGAAGCGGCAAAAGCUCAAAUUUGAAAUCUGGCGCCUUCGGUGUCCGAGUUGUAAUUUGAAGAUUGUAACCUUGGGGUUGGCUCUUGUCUAUGUUUCUUGGAACAGGACGUCACAGAGGGUGAGAAUCCCGUGCGAUGAGAUGCCCAAUUCUAUGUAAGGUGCUUUCGAAGAGUCGAGUUGUUUGGGAAUGCAGCUCUAAGUGGGUGGUAAAUUCCAUCUAAAGCUAAAUAUUGGCGAGAGACCGAUAGCGAACAAGUACAGUGAUGGAAAGAUGAAAAGAACUUUGAAAAGAGAGUGAAAAAGUACGUGAAAUUGUUGAAAGGGAAGGGUUUGAGAUCAGACUCGAUAUUUUGUGAGCCUUGCCUUCGUGGCGGGGUGACCCGCAGCUUAUCGGGCCAGCAUCGGUUUGGGCGGUAGGAUAAUGGCGUAGGAAUGUGACUUUACUUCGGUGAAGUGUUAUAGCCUGCGUUGAUGCUGCCUGCCUAGACCGAGGACUGCGAUUUUAUCAAGGAUGCUGGCAUAAUGAUCCCAAACCGCCCGU